rnacentral:rRNA from 1 species
GACGAACGCUGGCGGCGUGCUUAACACAUGCAAGUCGAACGGUGAAGGGACCGGUUUUUGCUGGUUCUGGAUGAGUGGCGAACGGGUGAGUAACACGUGAGUAACCUGCCCCCUUCUUCUGGAUAACCGCAUGAAAGUGUGGCUAAUACGGGAUAUUCUGCGCCUGCUGCAUGGUGGGUGGGGGAAAGAUAUUGUUUCGGUGGGGGAUGGGCUCGCGGCCUAUCAGCUUGUUGGUGGGGUGAUGGCCUACCAAGGCGGUGACGGGUAGCCGGCCUGAGAGGGUGGACGGUCACACUGGGGCUGAGACACGGCCCAGACUCCUACGGGAGGCAGCAGUGGGGAAUAUUGCACAAUGGGCGCAAGCCUGAUGCAGCGACGCCGCGUGAGGGAUGGAGGCCUUCGGGUUGCAAACCUCUUUCGCCAGUGAAGCAGGCCUGUCCCUUUUGUGGGUGGGUUGACGGUAGCUGGAUAAGAAGCGCCGGCUAACUACGUG